UACGGAGGGUGCAAGCGUUGCUCGGAAUUAUUGGGCGUAAAGGGCAAGUAGGUGGUCUCAUUUGUCAGGGGUGAAAGCCUUGGGCUUAACUCAAGAAGUGCCCCUGAAACGGUGAGACUCGAGUACUGGAGAGGGUCGUGGAAUUCCCGGUGUAGCGGUGAAAUGCGUAGAGAUCGGGAGGAACACCAGAGGCGAAGGCGGCGACCUGGACAGUUACUGACACUCAACUGCGAAAGCGUGGGGAGCAAACAGG
rnacentral:rRNA from 1 species